UGCUCCUCCGAAUAGGGACAGCCCUUCCUCUAGCGCUAAUCUGUUGGUGCAAGAUUCUAUAUGGCAUCGAAAUGCUAGAAUGGAUGGCAAAAGGGGUCUCUCGGGGGUAUGACCUGCAUAAAAGUGCUAAUCAGAGGUUGCUCCGGUGGGGACCCUCCGACUGUUAGGUUAGAAUUCUUGUUCAAUAGAUGGAGCAUGAGAGGUAGAAUAAUGAUGUACCUUUUUUAGGAUCUCCUUUGGACCUCCUUUUAUGGAUGAAGGUGGGAGCUUUCAUUGGUAAGUCGAUUAGCAUGAUCCCAUCUGAUUGGGAUGCAAUUUGUGUGUAGUAACGAAACUAUUGUUCGAAACUCUCAGGAUAUGGUGGUUAUGAUUGCCUUAUC
rnacentral:lncRNA from 1 species